rnacentral:rRNA from 1 species
CAGCACUAGGGAAUCGUCCACAAUGGACGAAAGUCUGAUGGAGCAACGCCGCGUGUGUGAUGAAGGCCUUCGGGUCGUAAAAUUCUGUUGUCAGAGAAGAACGUGCGUGAGAGUGACUGUUCACGUUUUGACGGUAUCUGACCAGAAAGCCACGGCUAACUACGUGCCAGCAGCCGCGGUAAUACG